rnacentral:rRNA from 1 species
CCUACGGGUGGCAGCAGUGGGGAAUAUUGGGCAAUGGGCGCAAGCCUGACCCAGCAACGCCGCGUGAAGGCAGAAGGCUUUCGGGUUGUAAACUUCUUUUCUGAGGGACGAAGAAAGUGACGGUACCUCAGGAAUAAGCCACGGCUAGCUACGUGCCAGCAGCCGCGGUAAUACGUAGGUGGCAAGCGUUAUCCGGAGUUAUUGGGUGUAAAGGGCGGGUAGGGGGGAAAGCAAGUCAGAUGUGAAAACUCAGGGCUCAACCCUGAGCCUGCAUUUGAAACUGUUUUUCUUGAGUGCUGGAGGGGAAAUCGGAAUUCCGGGUGUAGCGGUGAAAUGGGUAGAUAUACGGAGGAAAACCAGGGGCGAAGGCGGAUUGUUGGACAUUAACUGACGCUGAGGCGCGAAAGCGUGGGAGCAAACAGGAUUAGAUACCCCGGUAGUC